AUCUCUGGAUGAAAGCGGGGGACCGCAAGGCCUCGCGCGAUUGGAGCGGCCGAUAUCAGAUUAGCUAGUUGGUAGGGUAACGGCCUACCAAGGCUACGAUGUUUAGGGGACCUGAGAGGGUGAUCCCCCACACUGGUACUGAGACACGGACCAGACUCCUACGGGAGGCAGCAGUGAGGAAUAUUGGUCAAUGGGCGCAAGCCUGAACCAGCCAUCCCGCGUGCAGGAAGACGGCGCUAUGCGUUGUAAACUGCUUUUCCAGGGAAAGAAAACCCCCGACGUGUCGGGGCUUGCCGGUACCCUGGAAUAAGCAUCGGCUAACUCCGUGCCAGCAGCCGCGGUAAUACGGAGGAUGCGAGCGUUAUCCGGAUUUAUUGGGUUUAAAGGGUGCGUAGGCGGAUUAAUAAGUCAGUGGUGAAAACCUUCAGCUUAACUGGAGACUUGCCAUUGAUACUGUUAGUCUUGAGUACGGUCAAGGUAGGCGGAAUGUGUAAUGUAGCGGUGAAAUGCUUAGAUAUUACACAGAACACCGAUUGCGAAGGCAGCUUACUGGACCAAUACUGACGCUGAGGCACGAAAGCGUGGGGAGCGAACAGGAUUAGAUACC
rnacentral:rRNA from 1 species